rnacentral:rRNA from 1 species
GACAGAGGUGCCGAGCGUUAGGCGGAAUCACUGGGCUUAAAGCGUGUGUAGGCGGAUCCGUAAGUACCUUGUGAAAUCCCACGGCUCAACCGUGGAACUGCUGGGUAUACUGCUUUUCUUGAGCCACUUAGGGGCUGUCGGAACAAACGGUGGAGCGGUGAAAUGCGUAGAUAUCGUUUGGAACGCCAAUGGUGAAAACAGACAGCUGGGAGUGUGCUGACGCUGAGACACGAAAGCCAGGGGAGCGAACGGG